rnacentral:rRNA from 1 species
UGCUUUACACAUGCAAGUCGAACGGAUUAAAGAGCUUGCUCUUUAGAUAGUGGCGAACGGGUGAGUAAUAUAUCGGAACAUAUCCGGAAGUGGGGGAUAACGUAGCGAAAGUUACGCUAAUACCGCAUAUGCCCUGAGGGGGAAAGCGGGGGAUCUUCGGACCUCGCGUUAUACGAGCGGCUGAUGCCGGAUUAGCUAGUUGGUGGGGUAAAGGCUCACCAAGGCGACGAUCCGUAGCUGGUCUGAGAGGACGACCAGCCACACUGGAACUGAGACACGGUCCAGACUCCUACGGGAGGCAGCAGUGGGGAAUUUUGGACAAUGGGGGCAACCCUGAUCCAGCCAUGCCGCGUGAGUGAAGAAGGCCUUCGGGUUGUAAAGCUC